rnacentral:rRNA from 1 species
CCUACGGGAGGCAGCAGUGAGGAAUAUUGGUCAAUGGGCGAGAGCCUGAACCAGCCAAGUCGCGUGAGGGAGUACUGCCCUAUGGGUUGUAAACCUCUUUUGUCGGGGAGCAAAAGCCGGACGUGUCCGGCUGUGAGAGUACCCGAAGAAAAAGCAUCGGCUAACUCCGUGCCAGCAGCCGCGGUAAUACGGAGGAUGCGAGCGUUAUCCGGAUUUAUUGGGUUUAAAGGGUGCGCGGGCGGAUUUUUAAGUCAGCGGUAAAAUCGUGGGGCUCAACCCCAUCCAGCCGUUGAAACUGGGGAUCUAGAGUGUGCGAGAGGUAUGCGGAAUGCGUGGUGUAGCGGUGAAAUGCAUAGAUAUCACGCAGAACCCCGAUUGCGAAGGCAGCAUACCGGUGCACAACUGACGCUCAGGCACGAAAGCGUGGGUAUCGAACAGGAUUAGAUACCCGAGUAGUC